GUAGGGGGUGUCGCUCUUGGAGCGGACGCGGCGAAUGGGUCUGCGGUCGAUGUCCUCCUCGGAAGAUGCCGCCAUUAAUGUGGGCACGGAUUCAUCUUGAUAACACCAACACACAAAGGAGAGCCGAGUGGAUUCCUUCAACCUGUUACAAGAACAGCCCUUACCAAAUGUUUGAAGUUUUAGGAUUUUUCUUCAUUGCUCAGUGGAAAAAAGAAUGACUGUUUUAGAAAUUAUGAGAAGAUUCGUACAUUUCAAAGAUGCUGUUCCUGACCUUUUGAUCAGCAGAGGGAGAAAAUAAAGCACUAGCUGCAAACUUCUGUAUUUGGAGAUAAUGUGAAUUCUCUUGGGCACCUGAAGGGUUCUUCCCCUCCCAUCUUCCCAAACAGAUAUUAUUUAUUGAUCUAAAGAUACGGAAACAAGGACUGAGUAAAAAACAACAGAAAGAAAAUUAAGAGAAGGAGCAUCAUUCUUACAGAAAGCACCUGACCAAUGAAGUUGCUGUUAUUCCCCUUCCCCCUCCUGUCUUACUCUCUAUACAAAUAGAAUAAUCAAAUUCAUACUGAAGUCCAGUUCUUCAUUUUUCUGUAGUUCAGACAUGUUUUGGAACAGAUUAAGCUCCAUUUGUAUAUACAUAUAUUAAAAAAAGAACACAUUUCAAUUAAAAAAAGAGACACAUUUCAAGCUGCUUGUAUUUUAUACAUACACAUACAUUUCACGCAUAAGGGGAACAAGCACACAGAACCAGCUACAAGCAGUUAAGUUAACAAACUCCUAGGAUCCUUCCUUUGUUCAGCUCCCACAAGUUUCUGCUGCUGGUGGGUGUAAGUCUUUUGAACUCUUGAAAGCAACAAAGAGAAAAAUACAGAUCAACUCAUUUAACCACGUACUUUCCUUGGCGGCAGGCAGAACUGCUCUUGACUUGAAGAGGAGCAAUAUGCACGCAUCCAAGGACAUGCUGGUGAGCAGCUCACAGCAUUCCCCGGGGCUUCUCUGUUUAUUCUGUAUUUGUUUAUAGGUUUCAAUAGGACACUUGUAUCCAGAGUAUCCAAGUGCCUCAGACAUUACUUGGUUUACUUUCCUCAUCAGCAGGAGGAAGAGAAGUACCUUGAACUUUUCUCUCUGGGUUGAAAUUUGAACUGAGUUGGCAUGACCAGAGGGAUGCUGGAGAGUUUGCUUCCCACCCAGUAUGAGAAGAAUUGCUUCUCUGUAAGAGGUGCCAGUUGUAUUCCUCAUAACUAUCCUAGCUUCUAAAUACCAUGAAAUACAACUUCCAUGUUAACUUGUGAGGCCACACCUUCUACAUAUAGUAAAAAGCUAGCCUAAUGCCUUGUGACAAUAUUGACAGACACAGUUAUAAUGAAGUGUUUCCAAACUACUGUUAUUAAGACUGCAGUAUAGAAGCUUUCCAAUAUUUUACAUAGUUAAAAGGGAAAAAAAUAGUUUGGAGAAAGAGGGAAAUUCAAGGGAAGGGGCAAGAAACUCUAAGGAGACCAGAGCCAAUAAUCUAGAAAUAGGAAAGGCUCUUUAGAGAAGACAAUACAGAAGUAGACUACUACCCAGAAAGGUAGAGGAGAGCUUGAACUCAUAUUUGCAACUAUUUGUAGACUCGUUUCCAAGUGUAGCAAUAAAAUAAACAUUUACCUACCUCAUUAAAUCAGCUUCACGAUGCACCCAGGAAAUCCUGCUCCAGCUUAGUCAAAAAAGGACACAUGAAAUGUCUCUCACAUGUUUGCCUAACCCAAGAUCAAGUUGCUAAAUCAUUUAGCUAACAGAAGAGGCAAAAUCUUCAGGAACUCUACCUGCCCUGCUCCUCUAACAGACUAGCUAAGGGCAACCUGCUCUGACCAGGAGGAGACCAUUUCCCCUUCCCAUGGGGAGUCAGCAGGGCUGUGGCCACACACACCUUGGUAGCCUCAUUCAGACUGGGCUCACCGGGCUUCAUGGCAGCUGAGAACCUUUGAAAGGUUAGGGGUUGCUUAGAGGCCAACUAAGGGAAAAAGGAAAGCAAACAUGUGCUGCGCCCACAGUAAGCAUCUUCCCACUGCAUCCCAAAGUUGCACAUUUAGUUUCCUCAAGUCAGGAAAAGAAGGGAGGUUUGGCCCUGCACCGCUCCCUGGGGAAAGGCUGCUCUGCCAGCCUGCCUCUGACUCACUGUUGUGACACUCAGUAUUAAAGCUUGGGUAGUUUGAAGAUCAGUGGAAUAGAGAGAUUUAAAAACCCUGUUAUUUCAGCUGUACCUUUGAUUUUUAAAUAACUGUGCUAAUUCAGAAAGGUUCGUUGUUAUUUACCAUGUCAGCCCCCUGAAUACACCGAGCAUGGUUCCAAGUUAUUGUAACCCUCCUUUUAAAAGUAGAUUUAAGCCAUUAUGGUCUAUCACAUAAAUCCUUCUUAGUUUGUGGAUUAUUGACCUGAUAGGCCCAAAAAGCUCCAUCUGUCCAUUUACAUGUGCACGAAUGCUGUGAAUGUUUACUGCUUUCAAUCCUAUUAUUUAUAAAGUACUUUCUUCCUUGUCUCUGUGUACAUACAUGCAGUAUUCAGGGACAAUUUAUGGCCGAGUUCUCAUCUAAACUUAUUUAAUUAUAGGGCUUUCCAGGGCAAACUGCCCAAAUACAGUAGCAUAAGUAAGUGUACUGCUACUUGACUUGGGAAAUGAAGCUGUUGACUUAGAGCCAGCCCUUAGGAGGGAUGUAAAAGUUGUUAGACUGGAGGAACAUUUGAAAGUGAAAAGGGACUCCCUUUUGAAAUGUUGAUAUGAAUCCAGUCUUAAUUAAGCUUUUAUGGCCAUAGAGAAAGUUACUUUUACUUUCAGAUAUCCAAGUGGUUCUUAUAAAUGAGCUAAAUUGAUGCUCUAAGGGACAUUUGCUGAAAUUAAAAAAGGAAUAAAAUAGUUUAUUACCUGUUGAUAUGUGUCAAGGGUAAGAGUAUACAGAGAAAACUAGGCAUUUUUCUUUAGUCAGAACUUGUAGGUCAAAUUAUUUACAAAGACUGAGUUAAUCAUCUUGAUAUGUUGAGUCAAAUAAUUUCUGAAGGAGGUAUUAAAGUGCUAUAAAAAGGUUCCGUGUGCAAGGAAGCCUGUUGUCCUGCACAACGGCUAUUCUACACACAGGGUUAUUACUGUCAGGUAAUGUACUGAAAAGGCUGCAGAACAAAUACGGAGACAGAAAUUUGAAAAAUUUGGCUGCCACCUCAGCCUGAUGGAUGUCAUUGCUGCAGUUUUGUCCUCUUCCUACGGGUGAGCCACUCCACCUGCCACCAGCGGGCCAAGCCACGCAGAACGUGUGGAUGUAGCUUCCCAGUAUGUAGAACGCUUUGACUCUAACACAUCUGGCUUCUGUUUGCCACAGGAAUUCAGUUAGUCCUGAAUAAUGUUUAAAAAUCUUACAGAGACUAAAAAAAAAUACCUUGCAGAUGAUCUGUGGUAGCUUUUGUGUACAUAGAGAUGUCUUAGGUCUGACACUUGGAAGAGAGUGGUUUGUAUCCUGCUCAUACUCUUUUCAAGGAGCUUCAUGUUUUUGAUACAGAGCUAAAUAUAACUUACGUAUGCACUGGACACACGGCUGUUUUUUUCAGGAUGGGGAAACUCAUGGAAGUGGGAGGAUAUUUUUGGCAAGCUACAUUUUUGGAAAAGAAAUAUAAAAUGCCAGCAUCUUCUCAAAUCCAGAGCUAAGGCCAAACUGUGAGUGAAGUUGUUGAAUACAUGUGAUCAUACUGUUUCAUAUAUGAUGGUGUUAAUGUAAGUAUACUUGUGUGAAUAAACACACUGAGCCCAGUUCAAUUAC